rnacentral:rRNA from 1 species
AACGAACGCUGGCAGCAGGCUUAACACAUGCAAGUCGAGCGCCCCGCAAGGGGAGCGGCAGACGGGUGAGUAACGCGUGGGAACGUGCCCUUUGCUACGGAAUAGCUCCGGGAAACUGGAAUUAAUACCGUAUGAGCCCUACGGGGGAAAGAUUUAUCGGCAAAGGAUCGGCCCGCGUUGGAUUAGCUAGUUGGUGGGGUAAAGGCCUACCAAGGCGACGAUCCAUAGCUGGUCUGAGAGGAUGAUCAGCCACAUUGGGACUGAGACACGGCCCAAACUCCUACGGGAGGCAGCAGUGAGGAAUAUUGGACAAUGGGGGCAACCCUGAUCCAGCCAUGCCGCGUGAGUGACGAAGGCCUUCGGGUUGUAAAGCUCUUUCAAUUGUGAAGAUAAUGACGGUAGCAAUAGAAGAAGCUCCGGCUAAACUCGUGCCAGCAGCCGCCGUAA